rnacentral:rRNA from 1 species
UAGGGAAUCUUCCGCAAUGGGCGAAAGCUUGACGGAGCAACGCCGCGUGAGUGAUGAAGGUCUUCGGAUCGUAAAACUCUGUUAUCAGGGAAGAACAAAUGUGUAAGUAACUAUGCACGUCUUGACGGUACCUAAUCAGAAAGCCACGGCUAACUACGUGCCAGCAGCCGCGGUAAUACGUAGGUGGCAAGCGUUAUCCGGAAUUAUUGGGCGUAAAGCGCGCGUAGGCGGUUUUUUAAGUCUGAUGUGAAAGCCCACGGCUCAACCGUGGAGGGUCAUUGGAAACUGGAAAACUUGGGUGCAGAAGAGGAAAGUGGAAUUCCAUGUGUAGCGGUGAAAUGCGCAGAGAUAUGGAGGAACACCAGUGGCGAAGGCGACUUUCUGGUCUGUAACUGACGCUGAUGUGCGAAAGCGGGGGGAUCAAACAGG